CGGAUAUUCUUUUUUACAUGGAUAACUGUGGUAAUUCUAGAGCUAAUACAUGAACAAGUGUUCCAACCUCAGCUUGCUGACGGAAGGAUCGCAUUUAUUAGUACAAGACCAAUGAUUCUUAUUCACCUAGAACCCUGUUCAGUGAUUUCGGUCGCUGUCUAAGGACUAGCAGUGGGGAUCUUAGCAAUUUCGAUUGCAUUUCUUGUGAUGACUCUGAAUAACUGAGCAAAUCGUAUGGCCUCUGAGCCGACGAUGUAUCCCUCAAGCAACUGCCUUAUCAACUGUCGAUGGUAGGUUAUGCGCCUACCAUGGUUGUAACGGGUAACGGGGAAUUAGGGUUCGAUUCCGGAGAGGGAGCCUGAGAAACGGCUACCACAUCUAAGGAAGGCAGCAGGCGCGCAAAUUACACAAUCCCAGUACGGGGAUGUAGUGACGAAAAAUAACAAUACGGGACUCUAUUGAGGCCCCGUAAUUGGAAUGAGUACAAUUUAAAUCCUUUAACGAGGAUCUAUUGGAGGGCAAGUCUGGUGCCAGCAGCCGCGGUAAUUCCAGCUCCAAUAGCGUAUAUUAAAGUUGCUGCGGUUAAAAAGCUCGUAGUUGGAUUUCAGUCGAACCUAUGGGGUCCACUGAUUAAAGGGUUAGAUGGUGAUGUUAGGUUUCUUGCUUGUGUCUACGGAUGCUAGCUUGAACCUUCAUUCCUCUUUCCUGGUGGUUACAUUCAUAGUGUUUAGACAGAAAAUUGCUCGAUAUUUGCUAUCAAUGCUCUUUACCGAGUGUUGAUUCAAGCGAUCGAGACUUUUACCUUGAAAAAAUCAGAGUGCUCAAAGCAGGCGUCCAAAACCUCGAAAGAGGUGCCUAAAAACGGUAUGGUCAACCAUCUAUAUGAUGCGUACCACUACCUUAACUUGAAUGAUCUUGCAUGGAAUAAUGGAAUAGGACCUUGGUUCUAUUUUGUUGGUCUUAAGAAUCCAAGGUAAUGAUUAAGAGGGACAGACGGGGGCAUUUGUAUUGCGGCGCUAGAGGUGAAAUUCUUGGACCGUCGCAAGACAAACUACAGCGAAAGCAUUUGCCAAGAAUGUUUUCAUUAAUCAAGAACGAAAGUUAGAGGUUCGAAGGCGAUCAGAUACCGCCCUAGUUCUAACCAUAAACGAUGCCAACCAGCGAUCAUUCUGAGUAACUAAUUUCAUGACUCGAAUGGAAGCUUCCGGGAAACCAAAGUUUUUGGGUUCCGGGGGAAGUAUGGUUGCAAAGCUGAAACUUAAAGGAAUUGACGGAAGGGCACCACCAGGAGUGGAGCUUGCGGCUUAAUUUGACUCAACACGGGAAAACUCACCCGGCCCGGACACUGAGAGGAUUGACAGAUUGAGAGCUCUUUCUUGAUUCAGUGGGUGGUGGUGCAUGGCCGUUCUUAGUUGGUGGAGUGAUUUGUCUGGUUAAUUCCGAUAACGAACGAGACUCUAGCCUACUAAAUAGACUUGCAGUUUACACUGCAGUACUCCCCCUUAGUCAACCUGUGGGUGGUAGUAUCUCUUGAUGGUUUCGGCUGUUGAGGGCUCUGCUGCUAUUAGCCUGCAGAAUUGGCUAGGGUAAGGAUGCUGUAGCACUGUAAGGACUUCUUAGAGGGACAAGCGGCGCUCGCAGCCGCACGAAACAGAGCAAUAACAGGUCUGUGAUGCCCUUAGAUGUCCGGGGCCGCACGCGUGCUACACUGAAGUGGUCAUCGUGCAUACUGUUUCCUGCUCCGAAAGGAGUGGGUAACCGCUUGAACCCAUUUCGUGAUGGGGAUUGGGCAUUGUAAUUAUUGCCCAUGAACGAGGAAUUCCCAGUAAGCGUGAGUCAUUAGCUUGCGUUGAUUACG
rnacentral:rRNA from 2 species